GGUUAAGCGACUAAGCGUACACGGUGGAUGCCCUGGCAGUCAGAGGCGAUGAAGGACGUGCUAAUCUGCGAAAAGCGCCGGCGAGGUGAUAUGAACCUUUGACCCGGCGAUGUCCGAAUGGGGAAACCCAGUGUGUUUCGACACACUAUCGUUAACUGAAUACAUAGGUUAACGAGGCGAACCGGGGGAACUGAAACAUCUAAGUACCCCGAGGA
rnacentral:rRNA from 1 species